rnacentral:rRNA from 1 species
AUUGAACGCUGGCGGCAGGCCUAACACAUGCAAGUCGAGCGGAGCGGCGGACGGGUGAGUAAUGCCUAGGAAUCUGCCUGGUAGUGGGGGAUAACGUCAGGAAACGGGCGCUAAUACCGCAUACUAUCAGAUGAGCCUAGGUUGGUUUAGGUAGGUGGUGGGGUACAGGCCUACCAAGGCGACGAUCCGUAACUGGUCUGAGAGAAUGAGCAGUCACAUGGGAACUGAGCCACGGUCCAGAGUCCUACGGGAGGCAGCAAUGGAGAAUAUUGGACAAGUGGCGAGAGCCUGGUCCAGCCAUGCCGAGUGUGUGAAGGAGGUCUUCGGAUUGUAAAGCACUUUAAGUUGGGAGGCGUUAGCCGCAGAAUAAGCACCGGCUAACUUCGUGCCAGCAGCCGCGGUAAUUC